AUUGAACGCUGGCGGCAGGCCUAACACAUGCAAGUCGAACGAGUGGCGGACGGGUGAGUAAUGUCUGGGCAACUGCCUGAUGGAGGGGGAUAACUACGGGAAACGGUAGCUAAUACCGCUUACCAUGGGCUGUGGCCACGUGGGAUUAGCUAGUCGGUGGGGUAAAGGCUCACCAAGGCGACGCUCCCUAGCUGGUCUGAGAGGAUGACCAGCCACACUGGAACUGAGACACGGCCCAGACUCCUACGGGAGGCAGCAGUGGGGAAUAUUGCACAAUGGGCGCAAGCCUGAUGCAGCCAUGCCGCGUGUAUGAAGAAGGCCUUCGGGUUGUAAAGUACUUUCAGCGGGGAGGCGUUACCCGCAGAAGAAGCACCGGCUAACUCCGUGCCAGCAGCCGCGGUAAUAC
rnacentral:rRNA from 1 species